CCUACGGGUGGCAGCAGUGAGGAAUAUUGGUCAAUGGGCUUACGCCUGAACCAGCCAAGUCGCGUGAGGGAAGACUGCCCUAUGGGUUGUAAACCUCUUUUGUCGGGGAGCAAAAGCCGGACGUGUCCGGCUGUGAGAGUACCCGAAGAAAAAGCAUCGGCUAACUCCGUGCCAGCAGCCGCGGUAAUACGGAGGAUGCGAGCGUUAUCCGGAUUUAUUGGGUUUAAAGGGUGCGCAGGCGGAUUUUUAAGUCAGCGGUCAAAUCGUGGGGCUCAACCCCAUCCAGCCGUUGAAACUGGGGAUCUAGAGUGUGCGAGAGGUAUGCGGAAUGCGUGGUGUAGCGGUGAAAUGCGUAGAUAUUAGGAGGAACACCAGUGGCGAAGGCGGCUUGCUGGACAGUAACUGACGUUGAGGCUCGAAAGCGUGGGGAGCAAACAGGAUUAGAUACCCUUGUAGUC
rnacentral:rRNA from 1 species